rnacentral:rRNA from 1 species
CGGGCGGACGGGUGAGUAACGCGUGGGUAACCUGCCUCAUACAGGGGGAUAACAGUUAGAAAUGACUGCUAAUACCGCAUAAGACCACAGGAUCGCAUGAUCCGGUGGUAAAAACUCCGGUGGUAUGAGAUGGACCCGCGUCUGAUUAGCUAGUUGGUGGGGUAACGGCUCACUAAGGCGACGAUCAGUAGCCGACCUGAGAGGGUGACCGGCCACAUUGGGACUGAGACACGGCCCAA